UCCCUUGCUUGUAAACUCUCUCUUAUCUUUGUUCAAUCUUAAGCUCCAAAAUCGAUUUCGAAUCGCCGUUGACUAUCACCGUGAUUUAGCAACGGUUUUCUCAUCCGAUUGUUACUUCUCUUCCACUAUCCACCGUUGGGUGACUCGAUUUCGAAACUUUAGCCAGAAAUCUCUAUAGUAGAUCUCUCUCUUAUGCAUAUCUGGGCUUUUGCAUUUGAUCAUCCGAUGAUUGCUUAUGGCAGUUGACCUUUGAUUAUUUUCAUAUGGCAGUCUAAUGCUUUUGUUAAUUCAUCUUCUGCUUUCUAAUUCAAUUUCAAUGUAUAAUUUUUUCGUACUUUCUUGUCCGAUGAGAAUCGAAUCACAUCGUCGGUUCUUGAUUUAUUUUGGGCUGACCAUGAUCUAAUUUGAGUUGCCACUUCACGAAAUUUGAUUAGUUGGUCAGUAUUUUUUGUCAUCUAUAAUUGGCUAAUCUAAUUUUUAGGAAACUUUGGGAUACUUUGACCGGAGAUGUCCUGCAUUCUUUUGAGCACAAGCAUAUUGUUCGAACCCGCACCUUCUCCCAUGUAUAUAAACAACUUCUUUGCUUCUUUAAGAUUUUUCUGACAUAAGAUUCAUUAGACUAUGUUGUACUGAUCUUGCUAUACAUGUAUCCGUUCAUUGUUCUUUUGUUAUGCUUUAAGGUUUGUAUUAUGUAAAAAUCAUGUAAGGACAUGAUUAUGCUCUAACAUGGUUCUUUCUUCAAGAUUUGCAAUUUCUAAUCACGAGAGGAUUUGAGAAAAAAAUUCGUGUUUUCGACUUGAAUCGCUUUGAUGGCACCUCCUACAGAAAUUGAUAAAUCUCUUGGUUCUAUUAGAACAGUAACAUGGCUUCACGUUGACCAAACAAUAUUAACUUCUUGCACUGAUAUUGGUGGUGUCAUGUAUAAAGUAUAUAUCUCAUUAAGAAAAAAAAAACAUUCACGGUUGCAUACCUAGAGAAAAACAGGUUGUCGGACGUGAGGACUCGUAAAAACAUUGACUAUUGAUUCUUUUUGUUGAUGGUUGAUCUCAACUUUGUCACUGUCCAUCUGCAAUUUCUUCCUCUACUCAUCAGUUUAUCUUGGUAAUUUCUCUAAUUCUCUAAAACAUAUAUGAGUUUUGUUUUUUUUUGUUUUACCAAAUUGAAAAACAGCAAUAAGAGAGGGUGGAUUUGGUCAGAAGAAGAAUCUCAACUGCUUCACGCGUAAUUGCAUGAGCAUAUGACAACGAAGAAGCAGCAGCACAUACGAUCUGGCUGCUCUCGAGUAUUGGGGACCCGACACACCAUCUUGAAUUUUUCGGUAAACCGAAAAAAGAAAUCAGAUUGAUGGGGUUUGAUGAUGCAUGUUGUUAUAGAAUUAGUUUUGAUUUGUAUCUCGUCGAUCUUGGUGGUGGCGAGUUUAAUAAAAAUAUGUAGGCAUGGCCAUUUUACUCUCCCUAUAUUGACAAAAUGUUUAUGUCACCAAAUCAUUGGGGUUUCUUUUAUUUAAUCAUGGAUUCAAAUGCAGGAUUGUAGGCCUGGCAAAGCAUGGGGAAUUGCUCAAAAAGAUGUUGGCUAGGAUAGAGUAAGAACAUAGAUCGGUCUUUCAUUUCUUUCAACCGGAGGUUUGGCACUUCUUCAUGUAGUUCUUUUAAGUUGAGAUUGCUUCAUAAAAUUCUUGAUGGACGACAUGGAAAAGAUGAAGAAACAGAAAGAAAGAGAAGAUGUGUGAACUGAAUAUGAAUCUUAGCAAAUUUGGAGAACAAAUUGGUGGUGGAAGUACGAAGAAACCCGCAGAGGGGAAACAUAAGCUAGACGAGAGAGUCCUCAAAUCAAUUGUAGAGUAUUUCAAGGGUAGUGUUCUUGAUAUGCAUUUGCUACAUUCUUGUUCUUGAAGAACUAACGACAGAGAUAAGAAGAUUACCAAUUACGGUAAGACCAAGAUCUGAGGAGAAAUUGGAGGAGGCAAAGAGAAUAGAGGACAAAAGAAAAGAGACAAUAAGAGGAAAGGCAAGUAACCGUGGUAACAAAAAGUCAGAAAUAAAAAUUACUAUU